GAGUAGAUUGCAGCCAAGGAUGACUUGCCGAGAUGUUGUAGCUAAUGCAACGACUUAUCGGCAGGUCGUCCUUGGCUACAUUUUACUCUCUUCUGCUCAUGUAAGUCUCUGAAAUGCAUAUAUAUAAUUCAGAGGUAAAGUUAUCACACAUCACAUCCAGUUGAAUUGCUCACAAUUUGUCUAGAGAGUCAUUGCAUGAAGAGGUAGGGAGUGGAUUGCAGCCAAGGAUGACUUGCCGAGAUGUUGUAGCCAAUGCAAUGACUUAUCGGCAGGUCGUCCUUGGCUACAUUUUACUCU
rnacentral:pre_miRNA from 1 species